UACAGAGGUCUCAAGCGUUGUUCGGAAUCACUGGGCGUAAAGGGUGCGUAGGCCGCACGGUAAGUCAGAGGUGAAAUCCCGGAGCUCAACUCCGGAAUUGCCUCCGAUACUGCCGUGCUCGAGGACUGGAGAGGAGUCUGGAAUUCACAGUGGAGCAGUGAAAUGCGUAGAUAUUGUGAGGAACACGAGUGGCGAAGGCGAGACUCUGGACAGUUCCUGACGCUGAGGCACGAAGGCCAGGGGAGCAAACGGG
rnacentral:rRNA from 1 species